UACGGAGGGAGCUAGCGUUGUUCGGAAUUACUGGGCGUAAAGCGCACGUAGGCGGCUUUGUAAGUUAGAGGUGAAAGCCUGGAGCUCAACUCCAGAAUUGCCUUUAAGACUGCAUCGCUCGAAUCAUGGAGAGGUGAGUGGAAUUCCGAGUGUAGAGGUGAAAUUCGUAGAUAUUCGGAAGAACACCAGUGGCGAAGGCGACUCACUGGACAUGUAUUGACGCUGAGGUGCGAAAGCGUGGGGAGCAAACGGG
rnacentral:rRNA from 1 species